GCGCGGGGAAUCGCAGGGCCGCGCGCCCCCUUGUGCGACAUGUGCUGCCGGCCCGGGCUCCAUGAGCGUGGCGGGCACUUUGCCGUCUCUGGUGAUCAUGCCGGUUAUCUGUUCUUAAGCCAAGCAAAGGUGGAAAAGAACUGGAGAAGGCGAGCUCAUUGCUGCGAUAUCUUCAAAAGAACAAAAAUUAGCAACAUGCCAUCAGGACCACAGCAGUUGGGGGAAACAACUCUUUAUCCCGGCUUGCAGCCACGAGGUCUUGAUUGGGGGAGGGGUAGUGAAGAAUAGUCUCUUGGCUGCUUUUUUCCUCUCAUUGGAGCUGUACAGUAGAGUUAAUGAUUGCUGCUGAUCAUACUGAAGUAUUUCAGGAGCUUAUUAAUUAAGGCAUGAAUUUGAUACGUAGGGGUUUUUCAACUUAAUAAUCUUACACAUUUUUCACCCAUACAUCUUUGGUCUUUUAAAUCUUGUUAACAUUGCUUAGCUCAAUUAUACUUGAUUUUGUAAGUGGGUGGAAUUAAUUGGCAUUAGUGGGGUUGGAAAAGAGCAAAUAUGGAUUAUGAGAAUGAUGGUAAUUUUGAGCAAAUGUUUCUCUCUUUUCCCUGUUUUCCCCCACCCCCACCCCAGUCAUACACGUGGACCUAACCGCACCAAAAGCUUUUCUAAGGAUAUUUUGCUGCGAAGGAAGUUUACUGGAAUAGUAUUUGCUAAUUGGAAGCCAGAAGAAGAAAUGUUUUGCCACUUGGAUGUGAAGAUUUCCUCUAAAAGGGAUGAUGACAUACAUACCAACAAAAAUGUAAAUAUGUAAACAUUGACAUUAAUUUGACAUUAACCAUCUUGAGGUACAGAUGAGUCAAUAAGUGAUCUGGGUGAAACUGUUUUGACAUUCCUCCCACAGUGCUUUAAUCAAGUUGUAAUUUGGAGUUGGUGUUGCUUCAAGCCUUAAAACUUUAGGAAAAGAGGACUUUCUUCGUGUUAUGCUUAACACUACUUGCAAAAGUAUUGGUGAUUUUACUGAAAACUUUUUUGAGAUCUUCAUUUUUACAGGCAAACUUGUCUAAGCACAGCAAACCAGACUUUGGGUUUCCCUUAAUCAUAGUUUGAAGAGCCCAACAUGCUGAUUCCUGACAAUGCAACCUGCAACUGCCUGGAGAAAAAUUCACUAUCACUUUAAAAGUUUAUUGCAUGUUUAAUGAAAUACUGUUGUUAGUAAUUGAUAAUCAUGUAGAUUGUCAAAAAGAAUUGAGAGCCUAUCAGCUGAGCAAUAAAGAUAAGGAGAGCUCAGCAUGCAAGUCCAGUUUGGGGUAUUUGAAAAUGAUGAGAAGCAAGCAUCAUGCCCCAUUGACUCUUUGCAGACUAUUCUUUGGCUUAAGGAUGUUUUAGUUCACUUUCUUCUUGAAGCCUGAAUUAAUGUAAUUUUCUGUUUUGGUAAAUUAAAAUCAGUAUAUAUUUCUGAACUUUUAAAGGAUCAUUAAGAACAUGCAUGUAUCCCCAUGAAUUUUAAGACCAUUAAAAAAAAUUGUUGACAA